UACGUAGGGGGCAAGCGUUAUCCGGAAUUACUGGGUGUAAAGGGUGAGUAGGCGGCAUGGUAAGCCAGAUGUGAAAGCCUUGGGCUUAACCCGAGGAUUGCAUUUGGAACUAUCAAGCUAGAGUACAGGAGAGGAAAGCGGAAUUCCUAGUGUAGCGGUGAAAUGCGUAGAUAUUAGGAAGAACACCAGUGGCGAAGGCGGCUUUCUGGACUGAAACUGACACUGAGGCUCGAAAGCGUGGGGAGCAAACAGG
rnacentral:rRNA from 1 species